rnacentral:rRNA from 1 species
UACGUAGGGUGCAAGCGUUAAUCGGAAUUACUGGGCGUAAAGCGUGCGCAGGCGGUUGUGUAAGACAGAUGUGAAAUCCCCGGGCUCAACCUGGGAACUGCAUUUGUGACUGCACGGCUCGAGUGCGGCAGAGGGGGAUGGAAUUCCGCGUGUAGCAGUGAAAUGCGUAGAUAUGCGGAGGAACACCGAUGGCGAAGGCAGCUCACAAAACUGUAACUGACGCUGA